UAACACUAAGACUUCAGUGCACGUUGGUUAUUGGGUGGUAAUUCAGCAGAGCAGAUACAAAAUUGAAGGCAAGUUUAUUUACUAGCUAACUAGUGUUUUUGAAUGAUAUCUGAAAACCACAUGUUCUAUAGAUCAGAUGGUCAGAAUAUUCAUAAUUGAUCAAAAAACGGUUUCUCAACCAGUAAUGCACACCACUCAACACAAUUCAUUUCAAACAUUGACUAAAAAUCCAUGAAGUUGACUGAGGAAAAUUCUUUCUAAGUUUCAGGUGAAACAGCAGGAAGCUAUUGGCGCUGGAUGGUCAGCCUUGAAGGCCACUUCAUAUGUGAGGGGAUCCAGCCCACCUUCUUGAUGGGGCUUGCUGCAUUAUUUUCCACCUUCUACACCUGCACGCUCAAAUUAAUCUCAAGGUGCACCGUAGGAAUAAACCCUGAGAGAGGCACCAAGGAUGGACAGGGCAAAGUCUUCUCAAAGAAAACUGGCAAAUUCACGAGCUACAAGACAAGACUACAACCGUAUAUCCACAUGUAUCCACUCUGCUGAUGGGACUCAUGGACUUGAGUGGGACUUCAUUUAAAAUGUCAGCGGGCUACCAAGGCUGGAUUGAGAGUACUGGUGUCUUUGAGUGGGCCAUAAGUCAUUCGCUAACUCACUCCCCCAUUAUCGCCCAAUACUUGGACUUCCACACUUAUCCAUGUGCCUUGUUAGAGCCUGAAUAUUCAUACUUGGACAUGAUGUCACAUGUCUGGUGGUGU